GACGUAGGGGGCCAGCGUUGCUCGGAAUUACUGGGUGUAAAGGGUUCGUAGGCGGUGUGGCAAGUCGGGAGUGAAAUCUCUGGGCUCAACCCAGAGUCUGCUUCCGAAACUGCUGUGCUUGAGUGUGGGAGAGGCGCGUGGAAUUGCAGGUGUAGCGGUGAAAUGCGUAGAUAUCUGCAGGAACACCCGUGGCGAAAGCGGCGCGCUGGACCACUACUGACGCUGAGGAACGAAAGCUAGGGUAGCGAACGGG
rnacentral:rRNA from 1 species